rnacentral:rRNA from 1 species
GUCGAACGCAUCAUUUAGCUUUUUCGAAUGAUGAGUGGCGAAAGGGUGAGUAACGCGUGGGCAACCUGCCCUGAGGUGGGGGAUAACCUGUCGAAAGACGGGCUAAUACCGCUUAAGUAUUCAAGCUGAGAUGCUUGAAUGCAAAGAUGGGGAUCUCUUCGGAGACCUGUCGCCUUUGGAUGGGCCCGCGUCCUAUCAGCUAGUUGGUGAGGUAAUGGCUCACCAAGGCUAAGACGGGUAGCUGGUCUGAGAGGAUGGUCAGCCACACUGGGACUGAGACACUGCCCAGACACCUACGGGUGGCUGCAGUCGAGAAUCUUCCGCAAUGGGGGCAACCCUGACGGAGCGACGCCGCGUGUAGGAUGAAGGUCUUCGGAUUGUAAACUACUGUCAGCAGGGAAGAAUAGGUGCUUGGUUAAUAACCAGGCAUUUUGACGGUACCUGCAGAGGAAGCCACGGCUAACUUCGUGCCAGCAGCCGCGGUAAUACGAAGGUGGCUAGCGUUGUUCGGAUUUAUUGGGCGUAAAGGGUCCGCAGGCGGUUUGAUAAGUCAGGUGUGAAAUCCCACAGCUUAACUGUGGACACGCACUCGAUACUGUCAGACUAGAGUAUGAGAGGGGUAAGAGGAAUUUCCAGUGUAGGGGUGAAAUCCGUAGAUAUUGGAAAGAACACCGGCCGCGAAGGCGUUUUACUGGCUCAUUACUGACGCUCAGGGACGAAAGCUAGGGGAGCAAACGGGAUUAGAUACCCCGGUAGUCCUAGCUGUAAACGAUGAUCACUAGGUAUUGGGAGGGUUAAACCUCUCGGUGCCGCAGCUUACGCAUUAAGUGAUCCGCC